UACGUCCAUAAGAAGCAUAGUGGGUGGA
rnacentral:sRNA from 1 species